CGCAAGCCUGACGGAGCAAGACCGCGUGGGGGAUGACGGCCUAAUGGUUGUAAACCGCUUUUCUCUGGGAAGAUGAUGACGGUACCAGAGGAAUCAGCCUCGGCUAACUCCGUGCCAGCAGCCGCGGUAAUACGGAGGAGGCAAGCGUUAUCCGGAAUUAUUGGGCGUAAAGCGUCCGUAGGUGGUUAUUCAAGUCUGCUGUCAAAGCGGGGGGCUUAACUCCAUAGAGGCAGUGGAAACUGAGUGACUAGAGUGCGGUAGGGGUCGAGGGAAUUCCCAGUGUAGCGGUGAAAUGCGUAGAUAUUGGGAAGAACACCAGUGGCGAAAGCGCUCGACUGGGCCUGCACUGACACUGAGGGACGAAAGCUAGGGGAGCG
rnacentral:rRNA from 1 species